ACCAGACUCCUACGGGAGGCAGCAGUGGGGGAUAUUGCACAAUGGGGGGAACCCUGAUGCAGCGACGCCGCGUGGGUGAAGAAGCGCCUCGGCGCGUAAAGCCCUGUCAGCAGGGAAGAAAAUGACGGUACCUGAAGAAGAAGCCCCGGCUAACUACGUGCCAGCAGCCGCGGUAAUACGUAGGGGGCAAGCGUUAUCCGGAUUUACUGGGUGUAAAGGGGGCGCAGACGGCGAUGCAAGCCAGGAGUGAAAGCCCGGGGCCCAACCCCGGGACUGCUCUUGGAACUGCGUGGCUGGAGUGCAGGAGGGGCAGGCGGAAUUCCUGGUGUAGCGGUGAAAUGCGUAGAUAUCAGGAGGAACACCGGUGGCGAAGGCGGCCUGCUGGACUGCAACUGACGUUGAGGCCCGAAAGCGUGGGGAGCAAACAGGAUUAGAUACCCCGGUAGC
rnacentral:rRNA from 1 species